rnacentral:rRNA from 1 species
AACGAACGCUGGCGGCAUGCCUAACACAUGCAAGUCGAACGAGACCUUCGGGUCUAGUGGCGCACGGGUGCGUAACGCGUGGGAACCUGCCCUUAGGUUCGGAAUAACUCCCCGAAAGGGGUGCUAAUACCGGAUAAUGUCUUCGGACCAAAGAUUUAUCGCCUUUGGAUGGGCCCGCGUUGGAUUAGCUAGUUGGUAGGGUAAAAGCCUACCAAGGCGUCGAUCCAUAGCUGGUCUGAGAGGAUGAUCAGCCACACUGGGACUGGGACACGGCCCAGACUCCUACGCGAGGCAGCAGUGCGGAAUAUUGGACAAUGGGCGGAAGCCUGAUCCAGCUAUGCCGCGUGAGUGAUGAAGGCCUUAGGGUUGUAAAGCUCUUUUACCCGGGAUGAUAAUGACAGUACCGGGAGAAUAAGCACCGGCUAACUCCGUG